CUAAAUGCUCAUCAAGAAUCUCAGAGUAAUUUGGAUGAGGCAGGACCGAAAUGUGACUAUAAUUUAAAUGAGUGUAACUGUCAACACUUGCAUUUAAUCAGAAUCUCUCGUGAUGCUUUUUAGAAUUUACAGAUGUCGGGGUCCUCCCCUCAAUCUGCUGAACUGAUUUAUCUGGUGCCCAGGAAGUGGAUUUUCACAAAGCACAAGUAAUCCAAACGUGUGCCUCUAGUUAAGAACCAUGGCCAGAAACAAAGGACCUCAGAAGCAAAAUGCAUACCUAGUGGAUGGAUCUUGGUUUCUAAAUGUCACAGCCCCGAGAAAAUGAACCCUGUCCACCAGGAACCAUGAUCUUGGACUUCUCCCCUCCAGAACUGUGAGACAAUAAAUUUGUUUUCUGAGCCGCCCAAUUUAUGACACUCUGUUGUGGCAGUCCUAGCAAACUCAUACAUUAUCCUAACCAACAGAAGUCUGGCUGGAGUAACCUCAGCUUAAUCCAGGACAAUAUUCUUACCAUCCAGAUAACAGAACUACACA